rnacentral:rRNA from 1 species
GACGAACGCUGGCGGCGCGCUUAACACAUGCAAGUCGAGCGAAGCGGCGGACGGGUGAGUAACACGUGAGUAACCUGCCUUAGACAUUGGGAUAGCCUCGGGAAACCGGGAAUAAUACCAAAUGGUCUAAGAUGGACUUGCGUCCCAUUAGCUAGUUGGGAGGUAACGGCCCACCAAGGCGACGAUGGGUAGCCGGCCUGGGAGGGUGAGCGGCCCCAUUGGAACUGAGAAACGGUCCAAACUCUACGGUAGGCAGCAGUGGGGAAUAUUGCACAAUGGAGGGAACUCUGAAGCAGCAACGCCGCGUGAACGAAGAAGGCUUUCGAGUCGUAAUGUUCUUUUAUAUGGGAAGCGGUACCGUAAGAAAAAGCCCCGGCUAACUACGUGCCAGCAGCCGCGGUAAUAC